CUUCUCUUAAAGAAACAAUGUCCAAAUAUCCUUUCAUUUGCGUUGAUUCACAUGAAAUGACUUCAAGUGUGGAAUGUGUACAUUAUCCCUACAUUCACCACUUCCACAAUGUGAAGACACAGCAAGAAGACAGCCGUAUAUGAACCAGGACGCCAGACACCAAACCCGCAGGUGCCUUGAUCUUGCACUUCCCAGCCUGCAGAACUAUGAGAAAGAAAUGUUUGUUAAGUCAAAAAAAAAAGAAAGUGGGGACUUCGUUGCCAUCCUGGGACACAAAACCUGCGGUGCUGUCAAACCUGACUUCAAAGCAAUUCCUGCUACCCAAACGUCACAAUAAAUGUCACACUUGGAAAUUCAUCUGGAAAGAACCCCAAAUGAUUACUGCACCAGUGCACAUAAGGGUGGUAAAUGCACAAAGCAGGACACUUGAGCCCAAACAGAAAAUGGAAAUGGCGCUGAAGCGACUACUGGGCAGGAGAAAAAAGCAGAGGCAGACUGAUCAGAAGAAGGGCCAGUGCAGAGAAGGGCCUGGACACCCCACCCAGGGAUGGGUCUUUCCUCUGUGGGGCAGAGGCCUUGGUUUGGGAUGAGUCGAUGUGUCAGAGGGAGGGCGAAGACCCACGUGCCGACGGCCGGAUGGUGGGCUUCGCGAGAGCCUGGGUUCCAGCUCCUCUGCCCCCACAGGCUGGCUGAGCGACCUUGAGAGAGUUUCUGAAAUUCUCCAAGCCCUGGCAUUCUACCUGGAGAGUGGGGGUGCUGACAUUAUCGACAUACUGUCUGUCGGUGUUGUUGUGAGGGGUCAGUAAGACAGCAGAGAAAGCACUGAAGAGUGAGGUCUCCAUAAACGUUAUGAUUACUAUGCCAUGACUUGCCCGCGGUGCUUUCCAGGUAGACUAUGGAUUGGAAUGGAAGCAAUCUCAGGAGGAGACACUCCAAACUUUGGGCAGUCUGUAAGUAAGCGUUCAAGAACAUGAGUAAAGAAAACAAAAUGUUUGGAAACUUUGACCUAGUCGGCGCCUGCAAACUCUGAAGACCAAGCAUGACGGAGUGCGAGGACUUCC
rnacentral:lncRNA from 1 species